rnacentral:sRNA from 1 species
CAGGUUUCCGCCGUCGGGAGUCGCAGGAGGAGGAGCCGCGGGCCUUGCUGGCUCAGAAGAUAGAGAAGGAGACGCAAAUCCUCAACUGCGCCCUGGACGACAUUGAGUGGUUUGUGGCCCGGCUGCAGAAGGCGGCUGAGGCUUUCAAGCAGCUGAACCAGCGGAAGAAGGGGAAGAAGAAGGGCAAGAAGGCGCCAGCAGAGGGCGUCCUCACACUGCGGGCACGGCCCCCCUCUGAGGGCGAGUUCAUUGACUGCUUCCAGAAAACCAAGCUGGCGAUUAACUUGCUGGCAAAGCUGCAGAAGCACAUCCAGAACCCCAGCGCCGCGGAGCUCGUGCACUUCCUCUUCGGGCCUCUGGACCUGGUGCCUGGGGCCGGGCGGCAGGGGCGCGCAGGGUGGGGGCCCAGAGGCCUCUGGAGCAUCGCCCCGGGGUCAGGGUUGGGGCAGCAAGUGCCCGCCUUGGGCAGCCCGGUUCACGCUGUGUGGCCACUCUCCCUGGGGUCCAAAGUCUCUUCCCGAGGGCCAGCCUGUGGAGCUACGG